UCCAAAGUGCUGGGAUUACAGGCGUGAGCCACCAUGCCCAGCCAGUAUUUCGUUUCAUUGCUUAUAUUCUUUUGCAGGUGAAAUUUGAAGCUCAGAAGAAAAUUUUACAAAGACUAGAGUCUUACAUCCAAAUGCUCAAUGGAGUCAAUGUGACAACGGCUGUACCCAAAUCUGAGAGCCUCCCUUGUCUUCUCCAUCCUAUUAUACCCUCUCCUGUCAUCAAUGGUUACCGAAAUAAGUCCACCUUCUCUGUGAACCGAGGUCCAGAUGGCAAUCCAAAGACUGUGGGGUACUACCUGGGAACUUGGAGAGGUCAGUUGAAGGUU